AUGGCCACCCACGUCAACUCCGGCCCCGCGGUCCCACCCUCAGUCUCUCUGCUGCCCCCCUCCUCUGAGCAGCUCUCUGGGGGCUCGGCCACGCUGCUCUGCCUGCUGAGCGGCUACUCUCCUCAGGGAGCCCAGGUGAGCUGGGAGGUGGACGGCACGGCGGUGACAGACGGGGUCCGGAGCAGCUCGGAGGAGGAGAAGAGCGGACGCUACGGCAGCAGCAGCACCUUAAGCCUGAGCCAGGAGAAGUGGAUGAAAGGAGAGCAGUACUCCUGCAGGGUGGCCCAUCAGGGCCACAGCCAGGUCCAGAGCAUCCGGAGGAGCCAGUGUGAGGGCCAGAGAGGCUGA